rnacentral:rRNA from 1 species
UCGACGCAUCCUUCGGGGUGAGUGGCAGACGGGUGAGUAACGCGUGGGAACGUGCCCUUCAGUUCGGGAUAACCCAGGGAAACUUGGGCUAAUACCGGAUACGUGCGAGAGCAGAAAGAUUGAUCGCUGAAGGAUCGGCCCGCGUCUGAUUAGCUAGUUGGUGGGGUAAUGGCCCACCAAGGCGACGAUCAGUAGCUGGUCUGAGAGGAUGAUCAGCCACAUUGGGACUGAGACACGGCCCAAACUCCUACGGGAGGCAGCAGUGGGGAAUAUUGGACAAUGGGCGCAAGCCUGAUCCAGCCAUGCCGCGUGAGUGAUGAAGGCCUUAGGGUUGUAAAGCUCUUUCGUCCGGGACGAUAAUGACGGUACCGGAAGAAGAAGCCCCGGCUAACUUCGUGCCAGCAGCCGCGGUAAUACGAAGGGGGCUAGCGUUGUUCGGAAUCACUGGGCGUAAAGGGCGCGUAGGCGGCUUUAUAAGUCGGGGGUGAAAGCCUGUGGCUCAACCACAGAAUUGCCUUCGAUACUGUAGAGCUUGAGACCGGAAGAGGUAAGUGGAACUGC